UGCGUUGUCUCCGAAUUUUAUCGCGAAAAUAAUCGCAUAAACAACGAUAUCUUAUCAAUUUACCGCUGUAAAAUCGUUUCUUUGUGCAUUUUCUUCGAGAAUCGAUGAACAAAAAUUCAUAAAUCGACGGAAAAAAGUUCCUGCUAAUCAUCCAAAGUGUCUAAAAAAACAUCUGAAAUGACAAAAAUACCAAAAUUGUUGAUUCAUUGUUUUGUUACGGCGAUUUUUUGUUGUGCCUUAUCCAGAACGGAGAUCGUAACAAGCGACAAAAGCUGCCUUAUCACAGAUCCCCAUUUAAAUUCAACUUUCGACUUCACAACACUCCAUUCCGAUUUGGGACACAUUUUCAAGCACGACAAUCUCACUUUCAAAAUCAACGUUUGCAACAACGACCUAAAUUGCAGCAAAUACGAAACUCCCGUUGCCGCAUGCGAAAUCCAACCCGAUUCUCACGAAGUCGUGUUAGGUUACAAAAGCACCUUAACAUGGGACGACGGUCGAAUUUCCUUCGAUUUCGAGGGCGAACAAUGCACGGCAACGGAAAAAUAUUCGCUGAAAACCGUUCUUUUGUGCAGCUAUCGAAUGCAACGCGAACCAAUUCGAGUGAUGCCAAAAACUCCAGAUUCGUGCAAAACCUUCGCUUAUUGGAUGACAGAAGCGGCAUGUCAUCCGCGAUACAACGACAGAAGUUUGUGCGUCAUGAAAGGGCGCGAUGGGAAGGAAAUUAAUUUGAACCAACUUUACGAGAUGAAUCACAAAGUAACUGCUGGCGAUGGAAUUUCUCACUUUUUAAUCAAUUUGUGUCAACCUGUGAUGUACGGAAUUAACUCGACAUGCCCGCGGGACUCGAGUAUUUGUUUUGUGGAUCAAAAAGAAUCAAAUCCAUUGAAAAAAUUCAAAAAUUUCGGAACUCUCAAAGGGAUGGCUUAUGAAGACGAUCAAUAUGUUGUUCAUUAUUCGACGCAGGAAAAAUGCCCAAAAGCUCCGGAAAAGUUUAUUCGAACAAAAAUCAUCUUGGAAUGCGAUCGCGAGGACGAAGAUUUGCAUGAACCGGUUUUUGUUAAGGAAACUUCCGACUGCGAAUUAAUUUUUUCCAUGUCAACAAAUCUCGUGUGUGGCGUCGAAAGAGCUUGUUUCGCUUAUAGCUCAAAAUCCAACACAAAAUUUGAUUUAACUUCUUUGGCAAAUCGAACUUUCCCCUUGACCCAUAAUGGAACUCAAAUUUCUUACGGAAUUUGUUCAACUCCCUUAGAUCCUUGUGAUGAAAAAGACGGAGUGUGUCAAGCUCCUUUGCUGAAUCCCCAUAAACGAGAAAAAGGCUUCGGAAAAUUUUCAACUCAACUUUUGCUGAAUGGCACAGAUGAUCAUGUCGCGUUCGUUGAAUACAAAGAUGGCGACGAAUGUCAAAACGGACAAAAAUGGCGGACAAUUAUUACUUUUCAUUGUGAUGAAACGGGCAAAGAAACUUCAAAAAUCAUCGAAACUGCAAAUUGUACGCUUGUUAUUUCGCAUCCGACGAAACUGAUGUGCUCCCAUAGUAUUUCCUGUACGGGUCAAACAGAAGACGGGCGAUUAAUUGACUUAACUCGCUUGAAAAAUCAUCGAGGCAACUUUUUAGCGAAAGUCGAUCCUUCGUUAAAAGACUUUAAAAAUUACAAAUUUUACCUGCACGUGUGUCGUCCUUUAUUUUUGGAGCCUGGAUUGAAUUGCCCCGGAGCAAGUGCUUGUCGAACUAUCACCGUUGACGGCAAAGAAGAACACGAAACGAGUUUGGGGUAUCCUGAUGUCAGUUUAACCAUGGUGAAUGAUCUGCCAGUGUUGAAAUAUCUCAAUGGAGGCAUUUGUGAAAAAGAUAAUUCCACGGAUUUGUCGACGGAAAUUCAGUUUAGUUGUGAUCCAACGCAAGGUUCUUCCGUGCCGCUGCUGACGGAAGUUCAUGAGGACUGUCAUUAUAUUUUUACGUGGAAAACGAAUAAAAUUUGUGAUGCAAAAGUUUGUUCGUAUUCGCAGGAAACGUGUUCGUUGGAAAAUGCGGAUCUGAAAAAAAGUUUGGAUUUGAGACAAGUUUUUGGAGGAGAGAGUUUGCCUGUGAAGCAUCGAAAUGGAUCGAUUAAUAUUAAUUUGUGUAAUAAGGGGAAUGAUGUAGAGGAGGUUCUUGCUCAGUAUAAAGAUGAUACGGUGAUUUUUAAGUUUAAGGCGAUGGAACAUAAGUGUAAUAAUUCGAAAACGGAAGAAAACUUAUCCGUCGUUCUUCAACUCCAAUGCGGCAAACAACGAAACCAAUCUUCUUUCGCGAACGCUGAGCAAUGUUAUCUUGAACUUCAUAUGACGACGCCUCUCGUUUGCCCGAUGCUCGGAGUGAAUUUAGACCCAAACAACGACGAAGAAACAUCAACAACGACAUCGAUGCCUCCAAAACACGAAGAAAUAAUUGGAAAACGAGGAAGUCACGUGACUUUAACAGUUUUUCUUGUUCUCACAAUUUGUUCGGGAAUCGGCAUUGGAUGGUUUUACGUGAUGAAAUCGCCCGAAAGACGUCAUCGAGUGCUCGGAUUGUUCCGACGAAACACAGGAUCUGUUCAUUAUUCAAGGGACUCCCUCUUUGAAUGCUAGAUCGCUUUUUGUUAUAAAUAGUUGAAUUUUGCACGAAAAUGUAUUAUUUUAAGAAUAUUUAAAAGAUCUGAUAAGGUAAAUGGCGACGCAGAUACAGAUCUCCUCACAGUUCGUACAAGCAGCAUCGACGAAAGCGACGAUGAUGAAUUGAUAAUUUAAACCAAAUAAAGACGCAACUUACUUAUUUUCUUACUUAAUUAACCUAAAAAACUGCUUAGAAGUAUAGAAAACUGUGAUCGCCAAAAAGAAGAAAAAAUAUCUAGUCUACUCAGGAAGCAGUUUAAAGAAAAGGCCUUUUUAAUAAAAUUACUUUUUAUAAUUAAAAGAUUGUUAAAAAC